AAUCUAGAGAAGGGUCUUCCAUAAUACAAAGCAGCACAUUUGUUUGAUAAGCUUGUGUUUGAUAAGACAAAACAAGCAUUAGGUGGACGAGUUCGAAUCUUGUUAUCAGGAGCUGCUCCUUUGCCUAGACAUGUUGAGGAGUUUAUGAGGGUCACUAGUGGAUCUACAUUAUCACAAGGAUAUAGUAUCAACUUUGAUAUUUGAUCUUUUAGUGUCUUUGAGUAGAGAUGAAAUUGUUGAUGAUUGUGUAUUCAUUUUGAUGUAACAGGUCUUACUAAAAGCUGUGCUGGGUGUUUCACAGCAAUAGGUAACGUGUAUUCAAUGACAGGAACUGUUGGAAUUCUCAUGACAACCAUUGAAGCAAGGCUUGAAUCAGUGCCUGAGAUGGGAUACGAUGCACUUUCCAGUGUGCCAUGUGGAGAAAUUUGCCUCAGAGGUGUUAGCUUGUUCUCUGGUUAUCACAAGCGUUAAGAUCUUACUCUUGAGGUUAUGGUUGAUGGUUGGUUUCAUACAGGUGACAUUGGAGAGUGGCAACCAAAUGGAGCAAUAAAAAUCAUUGAUAGAAAAAAGAACAUCUUUAAGUUGUCUCAAGGAGAAUAUAUUGCUGUGGAGAGCAUAGAGAACAAGUAUAUGCAAUGACCUCUUAUAACUUUGAUUUGGGUGUAUGGAAAUAGUUUUGAGUCAUUCUUGGUGGCUGUGGUGGUUCCUGAAAGAAAUGCCCUUGAGGAUUGGGCACUUGAGCAUAAUUUGACUGCAAAUUAUAAAUCUUUAUGUGAUAAUCUGAAGACAAGAAAAUACUUAUUAGAUAACC